GGGUAGCUCCAGCUGUCCCUCCCGCAGUUGGCCCUGUGGUGUUCCGAAGCCGGUUACGUACGGCCUGAGGGCCAGGCGAACCUCAGGCUCUUUGUCCUACUAAAAAGCGCAGCACAAUGGUAGAAGCAGAUCGUCCUGGCAAGCAUUUCAUUGGUGGCCUAAAUAGGGAAAACAAUGAAAAGAUGUUUAAAGCAGUAUUUGCGAAACAUGGUCCCAUAUCAGAAGUUCUUUUGAUAAAGGAUCGAACCAGCAAAUCCAGAGGCUUUGCAUUUACUACUUUUGAGAACACUGCAGAUGCUAAGAAUGCUGCCAAACAUAUGAUUGGAAAGCCUUUGGAUGGAAAAGCAAUAAAAGUAGAACAAGCCAAGAAACCAUCUUUUCAAAGUGGUGGUAGGCAGAGACCACCAGCUUCCUCAAGAAGCAGAAGCCCUUCAGGAUGUCUGAGAUCUGCAAGAGGAAGUAGUGGAGGAACAAGAGGAUGGCAUCCCUCACAUGAAGGACGCUUGGGUAAUGUUUUAAAAUGUAAAGAUGGAACCAUAGGACUGAAAGAAAAUAAGUUUGAAGAUAUCGAAAUUUCUCAAUUAUAUUUAUUUCCUUUAUGAACAGAAAAUUGACUUAUAAUAAGCAAACUUAUUUCUAAGUACUAAAGGUGUAUUACAAGAAUGAUUGAAGUAAUAUCUAAAAUUUGUUGUAAAAUUGUAAUAACGUUGGAUUGAAAUAACACAAAUUUCAAACUGAUUUGAUUUUAUGAAUGCCAAUUGCUGCUACUCAACAGGUUUUCUGCAGAACUCAUUUAUAUUCAUCAUACUUUAGAGUUUUCUACUUUGGGGCCCAGAACUUCAUAUCAGUUGUAUUAUCAAAGUAAGCAAUAUUUAAAACUUUCCAACAGGGAAAAGUAACUCAGUACUUAAGAUUGAUUUUGCAAUAUUUGUUUUCUUGUAUAUAUGUGUGCAAACAUCUAUGCAAAUGUAUUGCUUUGUAAUUUUGAUACAGAGAGUUUGUACAUUGGCCUGCCAUAAAGCAUUUUCAAUUUAAGAAAUGUAGAACUUUAACUUCUGCAAAGAGUCUGUGACUCUGAAAAGGUCUAAAAACCACUGCUUCACAUAUAUGUAUGUAUCUUUGUUUGCUGGAGGAUAAGACACUGAAAAUGAUAUUUAUAGUGAUUUACACAAUAGAAAUGAGGGGUCAAUUUUUACAUAAAAAAGAAAAACCACGUAUUUUUUAAAAAAGAAAAAACUAUUGGAUGGGCUGGGUUUAGUAACUCAUGCCUGACAUCUCAGCACUUCAGGAGUACGGAGCAGGUGGACCAUGAGGUCAGGACUUCCAGACCAGCCUGGUCAACAUGGUGAAACCCUGUCUCUCCUAAAAAUACAGAAAAUUAGCCUGGCAUGGUGGCAUGCACCUGUAAUCCCAACUACUCAGCUGAGGCAAGAAAAUCGCUGGAACCUGGGAAGUGGAAGCUGCAGUGAGCCGAGAUCAGGCCAUUGCACUCCAGCCUGGGCAAUAGGGCAAGAGUCCAUCUCAAUAAAUAAAUAAAUAAAUAAAUAAAUAAAUAAAUACCUAUCGGUUAACUUGUAUUAUCUAUUAACUAACCUUCAAUAAUCUAACAUUUAACUUGGAGUUUUAAUAACCAGAUGUGUAAUUAAUUGGAGAUUUUUUUAAGUGGAAAUUGCAGUGUUUGCUCCAUUUUAAGAUGCAUAGCUACAUGGUUAUUUUGUCUCCAUUGCUUUUGAGGGUGAAGUUCAACAACACUCCACCAUGUCUGAGAAUGUGUGUAUUCUAACCUGUAACACCACCUAUGUUAUGUAUGUAGAUAUAUUGCCGCAUAUCUACAUUUUUUGUAGAUAUAUAAAAAUCUUUAUAUAUUAUUUAAUAUGCAAUUCUUAAUGACUAUUAAAAUUUAGCAUAGUGUAAUCUGAAAAUUAGUGUUUCAUAAGGGAAUUGUAAGAAUUCUAUAUUAUGUUAACAAAUUUUAGAGAUAAUGUAUUUUCCUGAUGUGUCACUUUUUGAUAUCAUAAAUAUUUGAAUUUGUUUGAAUGGAA